GUGGGGAAUUUUGCGCAAUGGGCGAAAGCCUGACGCAGCAACGCCGCGUGAGUGAUGAAGGCUUUCGGGUCGUAAAGCUCUGUCGAGGGGAAAGAAGUGUAUUGUGGUUAAUACCCGCGAUACUUGACGGUACCCCUAAAGGAAGCACCGGCUAACUCCGUGCCAGCAGCCGCGGUAAUACGGGGGGUGCAAGCGUUGUUCGGAAUUAUUGGGCGUAAAGCGCGUGUAGGCGGUCUGAUUAGUCUGAUGUGAAAGCCCUGGGCUCAACCCAGGAAGUGCAUUGGAUACUGUCAGACUUGAAUACGGGAGAGGGUAGUGGAAUUCCUAGUGUAGGAGUGAAAUCCGUAGAUAUUAGGAGGAACACCGGUGGCGAAGGCGGCUACCUGGACCGAUAUUGACGCUGAGACGCGAAAGCGUGGGUAGCAAACAGGAUUAGAAACCCUGGUAGUCC
rnacentral:rRNA from 1 species